GGGUCCAUAGCUCAAUGUUAGAGCAUUUGAUUGCUGAUCAAGAGGUCACCAAUUCGAACAUGGUUGGGCCCU